GAUUAUGGCUCAGAGCGAACGCUGGCGGCAGGCUUAACACAUGCAAGUCGAGCGGGCGUAGCAAUACGUCAGCGGCAGACGGGUGAGUAACGCGUGGAACGUACCUUUUGGUUCGGAACAACCCAGGGAAACUUGGGCUAAUACCGGAUAAGCCCUUACGGGGAAAGAUUUAUCGCCGAAAGAUCGGCCCGCGUCUGAUUAGCUAGUUGGUGGGGUAAUGGCCCACCAAGGCGACGAUCAGUAGCUGGUCUGAGAGGAUGAUCAGCCACAUUGGGACUGAGACACGGCCCAAACUCCUACGGGAGGCAGCAGUGGGGAAUAUUGGACAAUGGGCGCAAGCCUGAUCCAAGCCAUGCCGCGUGAGUGAUGAAGGCCCUAGGGUUGUAAAGCUCUUUUGUGCGGGAAGAUAAUGACGGUACCGCAAGAAUAAGCCCCGGCUAACUUCGUGCCAGCAGCGGC
rnacentral:rRNA from 1 species